UACGUAGGGGGCUAGCGUUGUCCGGAAUCAUUGGGCGUAAAGAGCGCGUAGGCGGCUAGAUAAGUCCGGUGUGAAAGUCACAGGCUCAACCUGUGGAAUGCCGCUGGAAACUGUCUGGCUAGAGUCCGGAAGGGGCGAGUGGAAUUCCUGGUGUACGCGGUGAAAUGCGCAGAUAUCAGGAGGAACACCAAUGGCGAAGGCAGCUCGCUGGGACGGUACUGACGCUGAGACGCGAAAGCGUGGGGAGCGAACAGG
rnacentral:rRNA from 1 species